AGAGGUCUUCCCUCCGCUGGUUCACUCCCCAGUUGGUCACAACAGCAGGAGCUGCACUGAUCUAAAGCCAGGAACCAGGAGCUUCUUCUUGGUCUCUCACAUGGGUGCAGGGACCCAAGGACUUGGGCCAUCUUCUACUGCUUUUCCAGGCCACAGCAGAGAGCUGGAUCAGAAGUGGAGCAGCCGAGACUCAAACUGGCGCCUGUAUGGAUUGCCGGCACUGCAGGCGGCGGCUUUACCUGCUAUACCACAGUACCGGAGCCAGCUAUGUAAUUUUGACCUGGACAUAUGGACACAUGCUUCUGCCAAAACAGGGCUCUGCUUUCUAAGCACCCUGAGUUUAGGAAUGGUUUUUUCCUCCUCAAAAAGGACAGAAAGAUCUCACACACUGAUGGUUCCAAAUGGGAACUGAGAAUGUAGGAAAAUGGACAUGGCAGUGAGAAAUGAAAGGAUACUCCCUAUUAGGAAAACAACACUGAGGCCGGUGCUGUGGCGUAGCGGGUAAAGCUGCAGCCUGUAGUGCUGGCAUCCCUUAUGGGCACCAGUUCUAGUCUCAGCAGCUCCUCUUCCAAUCCAGCUCUCUGCUAUGGCCUGGGAAAGCAAUAGAAGAUGGCCCAAGUCCUUGGGCCCCUGCACCCACGUGGAAGACCCAGAAGAAGCUCCUGGCUCCUGGCUUUGGAUCAGUGCCACUCCAGCCAUUGCAGCUAACUGGGGAGUUAACCAGCGCAUGGAAGACCUCUCUGCCUCUCCUCUCUCUGUGUAACUCUUUCAAAUAAAUAAAUAAAUCUAAAAAAAAAAAAAACCACAUUGUGAGACAGAAAUUAGCACAGUUAAGAAAUACUAAGGCAUGGCAUUCUCCUCACAUUCAUUUUUUUCAUUUUGUGUUUUAAUUACUUCUGAUCUACUUCCAUCCUCUUGUUGCAUUCAAUUGCCCUCAGUCUUCAUAUGUAAACAACUAUUGGACAUUGUGCAGCAGUGGCCUGUGACUCAGUGAAGGUUUGACCUGUGCCUUUUGAGUAACAGUUGCUGAUUCCUAGACUUGCAGAGCUAAGUCUAAGUGCUAAGAGCUAAGUCUAGUGCUGCUUUCUAGCCAGGCUCUGCCCUCCCUAACCAACCCUAUUCCCCUUGCCAAUAAUCACCCAUUAACUCUGACCCAAGCUUCCAUUUUUAUAAAGGGGCUCAUGUAGAUUGGCCACAAGCAGCUAAUUUGUCAUAACUUCUAAGCAUGUUAGAUUCCUGGGACAAGGCUGGAAAAAUAACGUCUGGGCCCUUGAAGAUAUUUCUUUGCUUUGCUGUUGUCACAGCUAAAUGGAGUGAUUCAUUAGUCCUUGUGAGAAAUGCCUGACUGUCAUUCUUAGAAGAUAUUACAGUAUGCAGUAGCAAGUCAAUAUUCAAAGAAAAUUGAAAUCGCUCCUUUCUCUGAACUCCCACAGCACUUUAGGUUUACAAUCCUCACAGCUAUUUCUGUGCAGAAUUUGUACUUUGGUUAUUUCAGCACACACAGAGCUGGGCUCCCUACUGGCCUCUACGCAGUGACAGCUGAGACAGGUGUGGGCUCCCUGCUCUCUCAUGGUACCUGACACUAAGAAAGUAAUCCAUAAUUGUUUGUUUUUACUGAAAUGGAAUCAUUCCUAAAACUUAGUUUUUCUUUUUCUUUUUAAGAGAAACUACAUUAUUGACCGUAUUCCUUGUUCAACAGGGGACUUGUCUUAGUCCAUUUUCUGCUAUCACAGAACAACAUGGACUGAGUAAAUUAUAAACAAUACAAGUGUAUUUGGCUCAUGGUUCUGAAACCUGGGAAAUCCAAGACGGUGGUGCUGUGUUGAGAGCCCCUAUGAGGUAUCAUAAGAUGGCAGAAGGAGAGGUGAACGUGCAUGAGACUGGGAGAGGGGAAACAGGCUGAACUCACCCUUUCUAUUAGGAGCCCAUCUCUGAGGUAAGUAACCCACUGCCUCAAUAAUGUAUUAGUUUUCAUGAGGGACUAAUCAUUAUUCCUAAUUAUCACUUAAAGGUCUCUUCUCCCAAUACUGUUACAGUGGCAAUUAAAUCUCAUCAUGAGUUACGGAGGGCUAAAUGGCUUAUUUAUUCUGUUGAAUUAUCUCCCAAAUCCCGCAGAACAAAUUCAGGAGGUAAGCAUCUCUGUUUCUGUGAUCUUGGCUAACAUGAACCUUUCCUUGUGCAUAAGCCUAACUACUAUUCUGCUAUACUUCUGGUGGUUAAGACAGCUACUGAGGCCUUCAAACUAAAGGAAAAUGCAAUUUAUCUUCAAUAAAAAGCUGUCUGAAUUAACCUCUUCACCCCCUCCCAAAGUGUUUUUCCAUGCAUCUUCAGGAAACAACAGAUUUGUAGAUAUCCUCAUCUGGGACCAAGAUCCUGAGAGUGAUUUAACACACAGCUGAAAUGCAUAUUCUUGGGCCCCACCCUAGAUCUACUUGAUCAGAGGCUUGGGGAGUGAGUUUUAAGGCACCUUACAUGGUUCUGAUACACACAAGUUUGAGAAGCUAUCUUAGACUGAGCCUGUGUAUCAGUCAGAUGCGCUGCAGUAACAAGAAAUACCCGAAUCUCAGGGACUUACUGCAAAGAAAGUCACUAUAUCCCUCAGACAGAGUCUGCUGUGGGUACAGGAAUCUCUCUAGGCAGUUGUCAUCCAUAUGACAACCCAGUGAUCCAGACUAUAUUGAGGUGUAGCCCAUCAUUCCAACAUGAAGCCUGAGGAUUCAUUGUGUCAGAAGAAGGAAAUUUGUCUGUAGAGGGAGCUGUGAAAUGUUGUAUUCCCUGAUCGUAAUCAACAGGAAGAAAAAAAGGAAAAGGGAAACACUAGUGUUAACGAGUCGAUUCUACCAUAGGUCAGCUGUAUCUAAGUCCACAUGAGUACACUCUGCUUUUCCAAGAAGCCUCAAACUUGUUCCCCAGCUUAGUGAAAUCCCAGGAGAUGAGCAGAGUGAGCAAGUUAUUAUUUACAUUUCUAGGCCCAUUCCAGAACCUUGCAGACUUCCAGAGAGAAGAGCCAGAGCAAAGGGCAAUGGUCAUUCACCUCACUAUUCUCCUAUUUCCCUUUCUUUGCGUUUCUGUAGCAAGAACAUUAACUAGAGGAGGUAGAAUUUUCCCAUGUAACACCCACAAUGAGGGAAAGAUGCCAAUAUUACAAAUUAGGAAGCUUCCUAACGCUGCACAUUUACCUGGAACCCCUUCAAGUACAGUUCUCUUGCAGGAUUCAGGGUUCAACCACCCAUUUAAGUUCUCUGCUCUUUUCUUUCUCUCUCCAUGCACCCCCCAGAGUUUUCCUAUUUUUGGUUUGCCACAGAGUAGGCAGAUCAAUGUAUGUUUCCCAUCCCACCAGCCUGAAGAAGGCACAUGAGUUCUUUUGUUUGCUGGUUACAAAAGGGAAAUAGACAAAGGUCUCCAUAACAACAAGGAGUGCAAGCAUAAGAACCUUCUUGUCUUAGGAAAGAGUCCAGGAAAACAGAGGUCACAUAAAGCCUCAUGGUGAUCUGCCUGAUUCAUCUUCUCUCUCCUUCUCCAGGCAGUGACUGUACGCCCUUUGGCUAAGCAAGGCUAAAAGCAGGGGAAGAUCAGUGAACAGAACACGGAGACCCACUGUGUUUCCAAUUACCUCGCAGGAGGAAGCUAGAGACUCUAGAACGGUGACUAAAGAACUUUAAAGGACCUUUUGAGUACAACUUACCCUUUUAUCUGUGAUGGGAGUGAAAAAAACACAGCUGAUGGUGGGGAGGUCAAGUGGAUCACCCAAGGUCACACAGCCAGUGUAUGGAGACCUUGAACCCUCCAAAACUUGUGACUUCCACCCUCACCCCACUUCUACUCCACCAUCUCACUUCCCUUGGCAAGAAUAUCACCAGGGUCCAGCCCUUUGCCAUAUAUAUUUUUUCUUUUUAUCACUAGAACCACAGGUCUCCUUGAAACAUUAUAAAACAUCAUCCUUCAACAUGGAACUGCUUUAAAUGUUAAAAGUAUCUACUUAAUAAAAUAAAUCUUGCUUGUACUUAUUUAAUCUAUAUGAUGUCUUCACAAAUAAUGUGAUUUGAUUCCUAAGGAAAAAUGAUACAUCCUUUGUUGUGUACACACACCAAUUGAAUAAAAAUGUAGAUGCUUACAACAGAUCGCACCUGUAAAUAGUUAUAUUUUAUAGAUGUAUUCAGUUAUAACAAUAAGUCACACAUAAGGAUACAUUUAGUUAUAGAAAUCUAAACAUAUGUUUAUAUGAGAUGUCAACAUAUUUUGAGAUAAUGGUAUCUGGCAAGUGUACAAAAAGCUUUAUAGCACUUAUUAUUUAUUCCCAGGAAACCAGAAUCAUACUCAGAAUUCAAAGUGUAGGGUGGAGAAAAUGGCAUAAAACAUGAAAAACACACACACACACAAACCCAGCGCAAUAAAAUGAACUAAUGAAAUAGCUACAAUCAACAUACAGUGAGGAUUCAGUCUGUCAGCCUCCAUUCAAGUUUUAAUCCACAAUAGAAAAAAAAUAUACAAACCUAGGGUUGUUUGGUGUAGUGAUUAAGGUGCCUCUUGGGGCUCCUGCAUCCCAUACCAGAGUGCCUGGUUUUGAGUCAUGGCUCUACUCUGGAUUCUAGCUUCCUGCUAAGGCACAGCAAAAGAGGCAGCAGGUGAUCUCAAGUACCUGGCUUCCUACCAUCCAUAUAGGAGACCUUAAUUUAGUUCCUUGCUCCCAGCUUCUGCCCACCCCAUGCUUGGUUACUGUGGGCAUUCACAGAGUGAACCAGAGGAUGGUUGAUUUCUCUCUCUCUCUCCUUCAAAUAAGUAAUACAAAUUAAUAAAUAAAAAUUAUUUUUAAUACAUUCACAAACCUGAUUGGGAGAUUGGAUGGAGGGUGGGAUGGGGUAUGGAAACAAAGAAGGGACAACUUUGUAAAGAAGGAAGCUGAAAUGAAUAAAAGAAUAAAGACUAAGGCUUUUGCAAUUAGAAUGUCAUCAAAUUUACACAGUAAGUUUUCAAAGAUGUCUCAACAGCAAUCAAGUUGUGUGUCUGGUGACAAAGAAAGAUCCAAUGUCAGUAAUAUUGUAAUUUAAGGACUUCUAGACUGAGGCACUUAGCCACUGAAUAGUCUGCACACAUUGGUAGGAGUUUGUGUGCCAUAGGGCAUCCUAUAGAACAGUGUGGAUCUGAUGUUCCAGUGGAGAAUACCCAAACCAAUCAAAUCUUUGGGUCUUUUGUAUAAGGUCAGUUUCCCUUGAAAAGAAUCUUUCAAAAUGCUACCUGAGAUGUUGGGUGAGACUUUACUUCUCUGUCAGGAAGCCAAUCGGAAUAAAGAGUUGGUAGGCUCCUGUUGUCCCAUGGGACAACUUUAAUUGAAGCCCCUAUUUCCAGCAGAGUCUCUCUCCAGGCGUGGCUAUUCCUGACAGUUCUGAAUCCAGAUCUUUUCGGGUUCACAUUCUGUACAGUAUAAUUUACACAGGUGGUCUGCUGAAGUCCGGGAGAUUAUCGUAUGGCUGAUCUCAGAGGUGGAAAG